rnacentral:rRNA from 1 species
AGAGCGAACGCUGGCGGCAGGCUUAACACAUGCAAGUCGAGCGGCCGUAGCAAUACGGCAGCGGCAGACGGGAGAGUAACACGUGGGAACGCGCCCUUCGGUUCGGAAUAACUCAGGGAAACUUGGGCUAAUACCGGAUACGCCCUUACGGGGAAAGAUUUAUUGCCGAAGGAACGGCCCGCGUCCGAUUAGCUUGUUGGUGAGGUAACGGCUCACCAAGGCGACGAUCGGUAGCUGGUCUGAGAGGAUGACCAGCCUCACUGGGACUGAGACACGGCCCAGACUCCUACGGGAGGCAGCAGUGGGGAAUAUUGGACAAUGGGCGCAAGCCUGAUCCAGCCAUGCCGCGUGGGUGAUGAAGGCCCUAGGGUUGUAAAGCCCUUUCGGCGGGGAAGAUAAUGACGGUACCCGCAGAAGAGCCCGGCUAACUCGCGCCAGCAGCCGC